rnacentral:rRNA from 1 species
GACGAACGCUGGCGGCGUGCUUAACACAUGCAAGUCGAACGGAAAGGCCCUGCUUUUGUGGGGUGCUCGAGUGGCGAACGGGUGAGUAACACGUGAGUAACCUGCCCUUGACUUUGGGAUAACUUCAGGAAACUGGGGCUAAUACCGGAUAGGAGCUCCUGCUGCAUGGUGGGGGUUGGAAAGUUUCGGCGGUUGGGGAUGGACUCGCGGCUUAUCAGCUUGUUGGUGGGGUAGUGGCUUACCAAGGCUUUGACGGGUAGCCGGCCUGGGAGGGUGACCGGCCACAUUGGGACUGAGAUACGGCCCAGACUCCUACGGGAGGCAGCAGGGGGAAAUAUUGCAGAAGGGGCGGAAGCCUGAUGCAGCAACGCCGCGUGCGGGAUGACGGCCUUCGGGUUGUAAACCGCUUUCGCCUGUGACGAAGCGUGAGUGACGGUAAUGGGUAAAGAAGCACCGGCUAACUACGUG